rnacentral:rRNA from 1 species
UACGUAGGCAGCAAGCGUUGUUCGGAAUUACUGGGCGUAAAGAGUGUGUAGGCGGUGCUCUAAGUUCGGUGUGAAAUCUCCCGGCUUAACUGGGAGGGUGCGCCGGAAACUGGAGUGCUCGAGCGUGGGAGAGGAAAGCGGAAUUCCUGGUGUAGCGGUGAAAUGCGUAGAUAUCAUGAGGAAGACCAGUGGCGAAGGCGGGUCUCUGGACAGUUCCUGACACUGAGGCACGAAGGCCAGGGGAGCAAACGGG